rnacentral:rRNA from 1 species
GAGGAAUAUUGCGCAAUGGGGGCAACCCUGACGCAGCGACGCCGCGUGGAUGAUGAAGGCCUUUGGGUCGUAAAAUCCUGUCAGAUGGAAAGAAACGUAAGGUGGCUAAUAUCUGCCUUAUUUGACGGUACCAUCAAAGGAAGCACCGGCUAACUCCGUGCCAGCAGCCGCGGUAAUACGGAGGGUGCAAGCGUUGUUCGGAAUUACUGGGCGUAAAGCGCGCGUAGGCGGUUUGCUCAGUCAGAUGUGAAAGCCCUCGGCUUAACCGGGGACGUGCAUUUGAUACUGGCAGACUUGAGUACUGGAGGGGGUGGUGGAAUUCCCGGUGUAGAGGUGAAAUUCGUAGAUAUCGGGAGGAAUACCGGUGGCGAAGGCGACCACCUGGCCAGAUACUGACGCUGAGGUGCGAAAGCGUGGGGAGCAAAC